rnacentral:rRNA from 1 species
UGAGUAAAGUGGCGCACGGGUGAGUAACACGUAGGUAACCUGCCUCUGAGAGUGGGAUAACUCGUCGAAAGAUGGGCUAAGACCAAAUAAGACCACGGGCUCUUUGGGAUCUGAGGUCAAAGGUAGCCUCUAUUUAUAAGCUAUCGCUGAGAGAUGGGCCUGCGCACCAUUAGCUAGUCGGUAGGGUAACGGGCUACCAAGGCAAAGAUGGUUAGCUGGUCUGAGAGGAUGAUCAGCCACACUGGAACUGAGACACGGUCCAGACUCCUACGGGAGGCAGCAGUGGGGACUAUUGCGCAAUGGGCGAAAGCCUGACGCAGCAACGCCGCGUGAGUGAUGAAGGCC